rnacentral:rRNA from 1 species
UACGUACCGUACGAACGUUAUUCGGAAUUACUGGGCUUAAAGGGUUUGUAGGCGGCCAUGUAAGUGGGGUGUGAAAUCCCUCGGCUCAACCGAGGAAUGGCGCCCCAUACUGUAUGGCUUGAGGGAGACAGGGGUAAGCGGAACUGAUGGUGGAGCGGUGAAAUGCGUUGAUAUCAUCAGGAACACCGGUGGCGAAAGCGGCUUACUGGGUCUCUUCUGACGCUGAGGAACGAAAGCUAGGGUAGCGAACGGG